rnacentral:rRNA from 1 species
UGGGGGAUAUUGCACAAUGGGGGAAACCCUGAUGCAGCGACGCCGCGUGAGGGAAGACGGUCCUCUGGAUUGUAAACCUCUGUCUUCGGGGACGAAACGAGACGGUACCCGAGGAGGAAGCCACGGCUAACUACGUGCCAGCAGCCGCGGUAAUACGUAGGGGGCAAGCGUUAUCCGGAUUUACUGGGUGUAAAGGGAGCGUAGACGGCGAAGCAAGUCUGAAGUGAAAACCCAGGGCUCAACCCUGGGACUGCUUUGGAAACUGUUUUGCUAGAGUGUCGGAGAGGUAAGUGGAAUUCCUAGUGUAGCGGUGAAAUGCGUAGAUAUUAGGAGGAACACCAGUGGCGAAGGCGGCUUACUGGACGAUAACUGACGUUGAGGCUCGAAAGCGUGGGGAGCAAACAGGAUUAGAUACCCUGGUAGU